UACGGAGGGAGCUAGCGUUGUUCGGAAUUACUGGGCGUAAAGCGCACGUAGGCGGAUUGUUAAGUCGGGGGGUGAAAUCCUGGAGCUCAACUUCAGAAUUGCCUUCGAUACUGGCUUUCUAGAGGCUGGAAGAGGUUAGUGGAAUUCCCAGUGUAGAGGUGAAAUUCGUAGAUAUUGGGAAGAACACCAGUGGCGAAGGCGGCGAUCUGGACAGAUAUUGACGCUGAUGUGCGAAAGCGUGGGGAGCAAACAGG
rnacentral:rRNA from 1 species